AGUCGAACGGGCUCUUCGGAGCAAGUGGCGGACGGGUGAGUAACGCGUGAGAAUGUGCCUUGAGGAUGGGGAUAACAAUAGGAAACUAAUGCUAAGACCCAAUGUGCCUUAAGUGGUGAAAAAUGAAAAUUGCCUGAAGAGGAGCUCGCGUCUGAUUAGCUAGUUGGGGUGGUAAAAGCGCACCAAGGCGACGAUCAGUAGCUGGUCUGAGAGGAUGAGCAGCCACACUGGGACUGAGACACGGCCCAGACUCCUACGGGAGGCAGCAGUGGGGAAUUUUCCGCAAUGGGCGAAAGCCUGACGGAGCAAUACCGCGUGAGGGAGGAAGGCUCUUGGGUUGUAAACCUCAAAACUUAGGGAAGAAAAAAUGACGGUACCUAAUAUAAGCAUCGGCUAACUCCGUGCCAGCAGCCGCGGUAAUACG
rnacentral:rRNA from 1 species